rnacentral:tRNA from 1 species
UGGGGCUUAGCUCAAAAUGGGUAGAGCGGCGGAUUCCAAACCCGCAGGUUGUUGGUUCGAGUCCAGCAGUCCCCGCAA